rnacentral:rRNA from 1 species
UAGAGUUUGAUCCUGGCUCAGGAUGAACGCUGGCGGCGUGCCUAAUACAUGCAAGUCGAACGAGAAGCCCACCUUCGGGUGGGUAGACAGUGGCGCCCGGGUGAGUAACACGUAGCUGACCUGCCCUUCACAGGGGGAUAACACCGAGAAAUCGGUGCUAAUACCGCGUACGCUUAGGGGAAUUAGAACGCCCUAAGGAAAGCUCCGGCGGUGAAGGAGGGGGCUGCGAGCCAUCAGCUAGUUGGUGGGGUAAUGGCCUACCAAGGCGACGACGGCUAGGGGACCUGAGAGGGUGACCCCCCACACUGGUACUGACACACGGACCAGACUCCUACGGGAGGCAGCAGUAAGGAAUAUUGCGCAAUGGAGGCAACUCUGACGCAGCAACGCCGCGUGCGGGAUGAAGGGCUUCGGCUCGUAAACCGCUGUUCUGUGGGAAGAGUAAGGACGGUACCACAGGAGCAAGUCUCGGCUAACUACGUGCCAGCAGCCGCGGUAAAACGUAGGAGGCAAGCGUUAUCCGGAUUUACUGGGCGUAAAGCGCGUGCAGGCGGCUUGUUAAGUCGUGCGUGAAAGCUCCCUGGCUCAACCGGGAGAGGUCGUGCGAUACUGGCAAGCUUGAGACAGGUAGAGGCAGGCAGAAUUCCGGGUGUAGUGGUGAAAUGCGUAGAUAUCCGGAGGAAUACCCGUGGCGAAGGCGGCCUGCUGGGCCUGAUCUGACGCUCAGACGCGAAAGCAUGGGGAGCGAACGGGAUUAGAAACCCCGGUAGUCC